CAGUAGUCACGAGUUUGCUCAUGGCUCAGAACGAACGCUGGCGGCAUGCCUAACACAUGCAAGUCGAACGAACCCUUCGGGGUUAGUGGCGCACGGGUGCGUAACGCGUGGGAAUCUGCCCUGGGGUGCGGAAUAACUCGGAGAAAUCCGUGCUAAUACCGCAUAAUGUCUUCGGACCAAAGAUUUAUCGCCCUGGGAUGAGCCCGCGUUGGAUUAGCUAGUUGGUAGGGUAAAAGCCUACCAAGGCGACGAUCCAUAGCUGGUCUGAGAGGAUGAUCAGCCACACUGGGACUGAGACACGGCCCAGACUCCUACGGGAGGCAGCAGUGGGGAAUAUUGGACAAUGGGCGAAAGCCUGAUCCAGCAAUGCCGCGUGAGUGAUGAAGGCCCUAGGGUUGUAAAGCUCUUUUACCAGGGAUGAUAAUGACAGUACCUGGAGAAUAAGCUCCGGCUAACUCCGUG
rnacentral:rRNA from 1 species